UACGAAGGGGGCUAGCGUUGUUCGGAAUUACUGGGCGUAAAGCGUGCGCAGGCGGCUUCUCAAGUCAGGGGUGAAAGCCCAGAGCUCAACUCUGGAAUUGCCUUUGAGACUGAGUGGCUUGAGUACGAGAGAGGUGAGUGGAAUUCCCAGCGUAGAGGUGAAAUUCGUAGAUAUUGGGAAGAACACCGGUGGCGAAGGCGGCUCUCUGGACCGAUACUGACGCUGAGGCGCGAAAGCUAGGGGAGCAAACAGG
rnacentral:rRNA from 1 species